UGAUAGAAUUUAAUAAAUCAUGUGCCUUGAAUAGGAUUUGUAUGGAUUUGAUUGAUUGACUCUUGGUGAGCCGUUUUAAAAUAAGCUAAGGACCUAAGGGCAAGAAGUCGGUUUUGACAACGAAAGGGUUUCACAGAGACUUGGUUUUAAAGAAUAAUCUUCAUCGGCUAUAUAAUUGUUUUCUAGUUAUCCAAUUUUUUUUAUGCCGAAAAACUUUCUAUUGAACAAACUUGUUGCUCAAUUUAGCAUCUAUUAUCAAGGUAUAACCAGUCAAUUGCAUCUGCUUAAAAAAUAAAAAAUAAAAAAUAAAAAAUUUGACUGUAAGACAUGAAGAUCAAGGAUGUUUUCAUGAUGAUGGUCAUUUUCUCUUCCUACGUUAUGUGGUUUGUGUUCAAAAGUAUGGAUGAUGAGGAUUCGUUUGUAUUUUCGUAUACAUUCAUUGUAAUUUAUACUAUUGUUAUAGCUUAUUUC